rnacentral:lncRNA from 1 species
CCAGCCUGGGUGACAGAGUGAGAUUCUGUCUCAAAAUAAAUAAAUAAAAGUAUGUGCAACUAGCACAUUAACGUUCCACAACUCUGGGGACAUUACUGUUCAGGAAGAGGCCAAGAUCAAAGAGGUGAGUCAUUUUUAAAUGGACUUAAAGAAAACUGUCUGGCAAAUCGACAGGUCAGGGCUAUGGUGACUGGGAGGGUGUGGAAGUGCCACCCCUGGGGGCAGCCAAGCAAGCCUGGGCAAGGACCUGCCAAAGCUCAGAGGCCAAAGAGCAGCCCAGGAAGACCCGGAGCUCAGAGGCCAGAGAGCAGCCCAGAAGACCCCACAGAUGCCGGGCUGCCCCUCAUUGCAGGGCGUGCAGGGGACCCCGUGGGGGCUCCUGUCCUCUCAGGUGGAAGCUGCCACCCUGGAAGGGCAGAAGGACAGUCACGGAGAACCUGAACAACCAGCGGUGACCUCCUCUAGGCCAGGACAGUCUGACCCGUCCUGGUGUCGCCGGCUCAAGGAGGGGGAGCGCCCGGACCUGCCAGGUGUCCAAUCAGACACACGGAGACGAGGCUGGCAAGUCCCAGAAAUCCUCGGCUCAGACAGAAGUUGACUCUACCACGGCUUUACGCUCCGACCUUCAGGGUUUCAAAACAUAAACUGCAAAGCGGAGAGAGGAUGCCCACUGCUUCAGCAGGGGCUGCAGGAGAAGGCUGACCCCGUGUGUUGACAAACCCUCCUGGUGGCUCAUAAGGAAGCUAUUAUUGGAGAAUUAGGGGAGUCAUUAGCUCCCAUAACGGCAGUGAUAAAAGCCCAUAGGAGUCGUCUAAUGAGCCUGCUUUAGGACUGGUGCUGUUUUUAGGAGCAUUCUCCAGCCCGGGGACAUUCUGAUAAAUGGCCAUUGAGGCAGAGGACUGGGGCAGGGCACCGAUCCCUUGAAUUCAGUCCAGUAUCCAGAGAUCCCAAGACAGUGCAGGCACCCGGUGGGACCCAAAGGAACUUGCUGAAUACACGCCCCAGCCAGAAACACAUGGAAAAAGACGCUCUUCACAUAUGACAGGAUCACUAGGCUCCACGGAGCUGAACCACCUUCUCACUAGUUUCACAACUCGGGGAACACUUCCUCACAGGGUGCUGGUAAAUUAUUAAAACAGAAGCAUCCUCCCCCAAGCAAACAGAUGGGAUGCACCCAAAAGCAGUCCAUGCCUCCACUGCCCCCAGGGGCGGAAAACAUGCCCCUUAAAACCUUCCACCGUGCCCAGGUGGACAGAGUCCCCCGUCCUGCCUGAUUGUCAUGGCCACCACUGAGCGCAGACCUGGGCCCUGGCAGACCCCAGGUCAAGCAGAUUUCAGAGCGAGUCCGUCCCCAGCUCCCAGGGGGAUGUCCACGGGGGACACAGAAAAGGGGUCUCGGCGGAAGCAACUCCUCAAUUCAUUUCUCUAGAGCAGGGGCUUCGUUCGAGAUGGCGAUCAGGCUGGAAGGGGGAGGGACGGAGAGACUCGUGGAGGCUGCCGUUGCAUAGCAAGAUGAUUUUUUUCUAAAAUCCAGAUUGCAUAUGCUUAUGGCGGGGUGGGGGUUUCGGGUACGUACAGGGGGGCAAGUUUGGAAGCUACCAAGGCAUAGCAGGUUGACCGGAGGUGGGGGCAGUGCAGGAGC